GUCGAGAAUAAUUCACAAUGGACGAAAGUCUGAUGGUGCAACGCCGCGUGGAGGAUGAAGGUCUUCGGAUUGUAAACUCCUGUCAUCGGGGAGUAAGACCUGGCGGUAAAUAGCCGACAGGGUUGAUAGUACCCGAAGAGGAAGGGACGGCUAACUUCGUGCCAGCAGCCGCGGUAAUACGAAGGUCCCAAGCGUUGUUCGGAAUCACUGGGCGUAAAGGGAGCGUAGGCUGCGUGGUAAGUCAGAUGUGAAAUCCCGGGGCUCAACCGCGGAACUGCAUCCGAUACUGCCAUGCUUGAGGGUUGGAGAGGUAGCUGGAAUUCUCGGUGUAGCAGUGAAGUGCGUGGAUAUCGAGAGGAACACUCGUGGCGAAGGCGAGCUACUGGACAACAUCUGACGCUGAGGCUCGAAGGCCAGGGGAGCAAAAGGGAUUAGAUACCCCUGUAGUCC
rnacentral:rRNA from 1 species